rnacentral:rRNA from 1 species
UACGUAGGCAGCAAGCGUUGUUCGGAGUUACUGGGCGUAAAGGGUGCGUAGGCGGUCCUAUAAGUAUGGUGUGAAAUCUCCCGGCUUAACUGGGAGGGUGCGCUAUAGACUGUGGGACUAGAGUGUGGGAGAGGAAAGUGGAAUUCCUGGUGUAGCGGUGAAAUGCGUAGAUAUCAGGAGGAACACCGGUGGUGUAAACGGCUUUCUGGACCAUAACUGACGCUGAGGCACGAAAGCGUGGGUAGCGAACCGG